GACGAACGCUGGCGGCGUGCUUAACACAUGCAAGUCGAACGGAAAGGCCCUGCUUUUGUGGGGUGCUGGAGUGGCGAACGGGUGCGUGACACGUGAGUAACCUGCCCUUGACUUUGGGGUAACUUCAGGAAACUGGGGCUACUACCGGAUAGGAGCUCCUGCUGCAUGGUGGGGGUUGGAAAGUUUCGGCGGUUGGGGAUGGACUCGCGGCUUAUCAGCUUGUUGGUGGGGUAGUGGCUUACCAAGGCUUUGACGGGUAGCCGGCCUGAGAGGGUGACCGGGCACAUUGGUACUGAGGGACGGCCCAGACUCCUACGGGAGGCAGCGGUGGGAAAUAUUGCACAAUGGGCGGGAGCCUGAUGCAGCGACGUCGCGUGCGGGAUGACGGUCUUCGGGUUGUAAACCGCUUUCGCCUGUGACGAAGCGGGAGUGACGGUAAUGGGUAAAGAAGCACCGGCUAACUACGUG
rnacentral:rRNA from 1 species